AAGAAGCAGACGAAGAAGAAGUUGUCAUAAAUCCGUCCUUGUCAAUGACAAUUUGUCAUUUUAUUGGGGUUUGAUUAUCUAAUCGAGUGCAAAAAAGCAAACAUGUUCGCUGUCAACGCUACGAGAAUUGCUGCAACAGCGCAAUCCGCUGUAAGGCAGUCAUCCAGGCAAAUGUCCGUUGUCUCUGGUCCCCCUCAAGUUAAGAUUUCGCCAGCAGAAAAAGUUGUUCAUGCCGUUAUAAUUGCCGCUGGAAUUUUCGCAAUACCCUCUUGGGUACUUGUGCACAUAAA